CCGCGUGAGUGAUGAAGGUUUUCGGAUCGUAAAACUCUGUUGUUAGGGAAGAACAAGUGCAUAGUAACUGAUGGCACCUUGACGGUACCUAACCAGAAAGCCACGGCUAACUACGUGCCAGCAGCCGCGGUAAUACGUAGGUGGCAAGCGUUGUCCGGAAUUAUUGGGCGUAAAGCGCUCGCAGGCGGUUCUUUAAGUCUGAUGUGAAAUCUUACGGCUCAACCGUAAACGUGCAUUGGAAACUGGGGAACUUGAGUGCAGAAGAGGAGAGUGGAAUUCCACGUGUAGCGGUGAAAUGCGUAGAGAUGUGGAGGAACACCAGUGGCGAAGGCGACUCUCUGGUCUGUAACUGACGCUGAGGAGCGAAAGCGUGGGGAGCGAACAGGAUUAGAUACCCUGGUAGUCCACGCCGUAAACGAUGAGUGCUAGGUGUCAGGGGGUUUCCGCCCCUUAGUGCUGAAGUUAACGCAUUAAGCACUCCGCCUGUGGAGUACGGCCGCCAUGCUGACACCUCAAAAGACUUGACGGGGGCCCGCACAAGCGGUGGAGCAUGUGGUCUAAUUCGAAGCAACGCGAAGAACCUUACAGGUCUUGACAUCCUCUGAACACUCUAGAGAUAGAGUUUCCCUUCGGG
rnacentral:rRNA from 1 species